rnacentral:rRNA from 1 species
AAAUGCAGUCGAGCGACAGAUAAGGAGCUUGCUCCUUUGACGUUAGCGGCGGACGGGUGAGUAACACGUGGGUAACCUACCUAUAAGACUGGAAUAACUCCGGGAAACCGGGGCUAAUGCCGGAUAACAUUUAGAACCGCAUGGUUCUAAAGUGAAAGAUGGUUUUGCUAUCACUUAUAGAUGGACCCGCGCCGUAUUAGCUAGUUGGUAAGGUAACGGCUUACCAAGGCAACGAUACGUAGCCGACCUGAGAGGGUGAUCGGCCACACUGGAACUGAGACACGGUCCAGACUCCUACGGGAGGCAGCAGUAGGGAAUCUUCCGCAAUGGGCGAAAGCCUGACGGAGCAACGCCGCGUGAGUGAUGAAGGUCUUCGGAUCGUAAAACUCUGUUAUUAGGGAAGAACAAAUGUGUAAGUAACUAUGCACGUCUUGACGGUACCUAAUCAGAAAGCCACGGCUAACUACGUGCCAGCAGCCGCGGUAAUACGUAGGUGGCAAGCGUUAUCCGGAAUUAUUGGGCGUAAAGCGCGCGUAGGCGGUUUCUUAAGUCUGAUGUGAAAGCCCACGGCUCAACCGUGGAGGGUCAUUGGAAACUGGGAAACUUGAGUGCAGAAGAGGAAAGUGGAAUUCCAUGUGUAGCGGUGAAAUGCGCAGAGAUAUGGAGGAACACCAGUGGCGAAGGCGACUUUCUGGUCUGUAACUGACGCUGAUGUGCGAAAGCGUGGGGAUCAAACAGGAUUAGAUACCCUGGUAGUCCACGCCGUAAACGAUGAGUGCUAAGUGUUAGGGGGUUUCCGCCCCUUAGUGCUGCAGCUAACGCAUUAAGCACUCCGCCUGGGGAGUACGACCGCAAGGUUGAGACUCAAAGGAAUUGACGGGGACCCGCACAAGCGGUGGAGCAUGUGGUUUAAUUCGAAGCAACGCGGAGAACCUUACCAAAUCUUGACAUCCUUUGACAACUCU